rnacentral:snRNA from 1 species
AGACUUUCUUGGUUUUAUCCCAAGAAAAGAGAUAAGAAAGAGAUGUAUAAAUGGAGAUAAGAAAGAGAAUAGAAACACAGGCCCAUGGCCUAGGUUGGCAACCUCCAUUGCACCUAGGGAGGGGUGCCUGCCUAACAUCUCCCCAAGUGGGAAAGUGUACGUCAUAAUUUGUGGUAGUGGGGGUACGCGUUCGCGCGACCCCUG